rnacentral:rRNA from 1 species
UGGCGAACGGGUGAGUAACACGUGGGUGAUCUGCCCUGCACUUUGGGAUAAGCCUUGGAAACUGGGUCUAAUACCAGAUAGGACCAUGCUUUGGAUGGUGUGGUGGAAAGUUUUUUCGGUGUGGGAUGAGCUUGCGGCCUAUCAGCUUGUUGGUGGGGUAAUGGCCUACCAAGGCGUCGACGGGUAGCCGGCCUGAGAGGGUGUACGGCCACAUUUGGACUGAGAUACGGCCCAG